UACGGAGGAUCCAAGCGUUAUCCGGAUUUAUUGGGUUUAAAGGGUGCGUAGGCGGCCUAUUAUGUUAGGGGUGAAAGACGGUAGCUUAACUAUCGCAGUGCCUUUGAUACUGAUGGGCUUGAAUGGACUAGAGGUAGGCGGAAUGUGACAAGUAGCGGUGAAAUGCAUAGAUAUGUCAUAGAACACCUAUUGCGAAGGCAGCAAACUACGCAUAUAUUGACGCUGAGGCACGAAAGCGUGGGGAUCAAACAGG
rnacentral:rRNA from 1 species